rnacentral:piRNA from 3 species
ACCCUUGAUGAUGUAGCUCAGUGG